AUGGAGACCCGUGGGAGACGAAAGCGCGCCGCCGCCGCCAGGGACCGGCUGAGCAACCUGCCGGACUGCCUACUCCACGCCAUCCUCUCGCAUCUCCGGUCCCGCCAGGUGGUGCACACGAGCGCCCUGUCACGGCGGUGGCGCCAGCUCUGGCGCGCCGUCCCAUGCAUCCACAUCGACAGCGCCGACUUCCCCAUCCAGAUUGACGAGGAUUCCGACUUAUCCUCGGACCAAGAUGAUGAUCGGAACUCAGAGAUUGAUUCGUGUGACCGAGAUCGUCGCUUGGUUGAGGCAGAGAGGGAUGCGAUAGCCAAGCUGGAGGAUUUCGCCGACAAUCUCUUGUUCCACCAUGGUCUCUCCGGCGAGGCGCUGGACACCCUGCGGCUGCGCAUCUAUCGUCGAGACGGACGUCCAUACGGUAGCACGGAUAUGAUCAGCAGGUGGAUUCGCCGCGGCCUGAGGCUGUCACCGGCGGAAAUCGACAUCAUCGUCGACGGUAUCCCGAUGGAGCAACCCUCCUAUUUCUCCAACACUGGCGCCAACCUUGGGCGCCUCACCAAGAUCCGCCUCGACGGCGUUCUCCUCAUCGGGGCCAUCGGGGAUCUCUUCGGCACCGACAGCCUCCCCCCGUCUUGA
rnacentral:rRNA from 1 species